ACGACAGGGAAGCUUGCUUCCUUGGGCGUCGACCGGCGCACGGGUGAGUAACGCGUAUCCAACCUGCCUCUGACUGAGGGAUAACCCGUCGAAAGUCGGCCUAAUACCUCAUGGCAUCGUCUGCGGGCAUCCAACGACGAUUAAAGAUUUCAUCGGUCAGGGAUGGGGAUGCGUCUGAUUAGCUGGUUGGCGGGGUAACGGCCCACCAAGGCGACGAUCAGUAGGGGUUCUGAGAGGAAGGUCCCCCACAUUGGAACUGAGACACGGUCCAAACUCCUACGGGAGGCAGCAGUNAGGAAUAUUGGUCAAUGGGCGAGAGCUGAACCAGCCAAGUAGCGUGCAGGAUGACGGCCCUAUGGGUUGUAAACUGCUUUUAUGCGGGGAUAAAGUGAGGGACGUGUCCUUCAUUGCAGGUACCGCAUGAAUAAGGACCGGCUAAUUCCGUGCCAGCAGCCGCGGUAAUACGGAAGGUCCGGGCGUUAUCCGGAUUUAUUGGGUUUAAAGGGAGCGUAGGCCGUGGAUUAAGCGUGUUGUGAAAUGCAGGUGCUCAACGUCUGCACUGCAGCGCGAACUGGUCCACUUGAGUGUGCGCAACGCAGGCGGAAUUCGUCGUGUAGCGGUGAAAUGCUUAGAUAUGACGAAGAACUCCGAUUGCGAAGGCAGCUUGCGGGAGCACAACUGACGCUGAAGCUCGAAAGUGCGGGUAUCGAACAGGAUUAGAUACCCUGGUAGUCCGCACGGUAAACGAUGGAUGCCCGUUGUCAGGCUGUUUCAGCCUGGUGACCAAGCGAAAG
rnacentral:rRNA from 1 species